rnacentral:tRNA from 1 species
UAGGUAGAAGCUUGCUGGUUGGAGCAUCUAGCUGUCAACUAGAGUUUUAUGGGAUCAAGGCCCAUCUAUCUAG